rnacentral:tRNA from 1 species
UUCAUUUUAGUAUAUGAUGUACAGGAGUUUUUGAUACUUCUAGAAAUAGUUUAAUUCUAUUAGAUGUAA